rnacentral:rRNA from 1 species
CCUACGGGUGGCAGCAGUGGGGAAUAUUGGGCAAUGGGCGCAAGCCUGACCCAGCAACGCCGCGUGAAGGAAGAAGGCUUUCGGGUUGUAAACUUCUUUUCUCAGGGACGAGUCAAGUGACGGUACCUACGGAAUAAGCACCGGCUAACUACGUGCCAGCGGCCGCGGGAAUAGGUAGGUGGCAAGCGUUUGCCGGAUUUCCUGGGUGAAAAGGGCGUGUAGGCGGGUCUACAGGUCAGAUGUGAAAGCCACGGGCUCAACCUGUGGCCUGCAUUUGAAAUUGUAGUUCUUGAGUACUGGAGAGGCAGACGGAAUUCCUAGUGUAGCGGUGAAAUGCGUAGAUAUUAGGAGGAACACCAGUGGCGAAGGCGGUCUGCUGGACAGCAACUGACGGUGAGGCGCGAAAGCGUGGGGAGCAAACAGGAUUAGAUACCCUUGUAGUC